rnacentral:misc_RNA from 1 species
CGCACAUUGCGCCCCCUGGUAUUCCGGGGGGCAUGCCUGUCCGAGCGUCAUUACAACCCUCAAGCUCUGCUUGGUGUUGGGCCCCGCCGCCCCGGCGGGCCCUAAAGUCAGUGGCGGUGCCAUCCGGCUCCGAGCGUAGUAAUUCUUCUCGCUCUGGAGGUCCGGUUGUGUGCUUGCCAUCAACCCCCAAUUUUUUUCAGGUUAACCUCGGAUCAGGUAGGGAUACCCGCUGGACUUAA